ensembl:snoRNA
UUCUUGUGAUGGUUAAUUUUAUGUGUCAACCUGACUGGGCCACAGAAUGCCCAUGAUAAAUAGUUUUUCUGGAU